AGUGAACGCUGGCGGUAGGCCUAACACAUGCAAGUCGAACGGCAGCACAGGAGAGCUUGCUCUCUGGGUGGCGAGUGGCGGACGGGUGAGGAAUACAUCGGAAUCUACUCUGUCGUGGGGGAUAACGUAGGGAAACUUACGCUAAUACCGCAUACGACCUACGGGUGAAAGCAGGGGAUCUUCGGACCUUGCGCGAUUGAAUGAGCCGAUGUCGGAUUAGCUAGUUGGCGGGGUAAAGGCCCACCAAGGCGACGAUCCGUAGCUGGUCUGAGAGGGUGAUCAGCCACACUGGAACUGAGACACGGUCCAGACUCCUACGGGAGGCAGCAGUGGGGAAUAUUGGACAAUGGGCGCAAGCCUGAUCCAGCCAUACCGCGUGGGUGAAGAAGGCCUUCGGGUUGUAAAGCCCUUUUGUUGGGAAAGAAAUCCAGCUGGCUAAUACCCGGUUGGGAUGACGGUACCCAAAGAAUAAGCACCGGCUAACUUCGUGCCAGCAGCCGCCGCGG
rnacentral:rRNA from 1 species